rnacentral:lncRNA from 1 species
GAAAGGGGCGGGGCUUGCUGGGGUGGCUGGGCUGGACGGGUGACAGGCCUCGUAAAUCCCCUUUCCCAUGUUUAACACCAUUUCAUUUCUUUCCACUUGAUUCCAUUGGCAUCCAAGGCAGACGGGAGCGACCCUCGUGUCCUCGCUGUAAUAUCUUCUGGGCGAAGCCCUUUUGGGCCAAAGGGAAUUAGGCUGUGUGGGGCAGAGGAGUUGCUCCUGGGGAGGCCUAGAGGACCCGCAUUCCUCGGGGGGAUUCCUGUUGCCCCCACCCCCGCCCCAGAAGAAGAAACAGAAGGGGCUGAGAGACACAGAAAUGAGUUUGGCUUCGGAGGCCCUGCCCGAUUCUCUGGCCGUGGUAUGGCUGAGGGCUGGGCUGAGGAUCCCGUAACUGUCAAUUCCAGUACCAGCCUGGGCGAAGGCUGGGGAGAGCCACCCAGACUGAGUGUGGCGUCGCAGAGCCCUUUCCUGCCUUUCUUCUGCUCACCCAUGGCCACAGCUUUUUAUGGAUCAGGACUCCCCUCCCUGCCCUGCCUGGGCCGCAGCUUUAUUGCUGAGAUCUAGGGCUCUCUCCACGCAAUUUCACGCCUCUCUGCCUUUGCUCCCGCUGUUCCUCCAGCCAAAUGCCUUCCUCAUUGUCCCUGUCUUUCCACAACCUCCUUAUUCUUCAGGGCCCAACUCGGAUGCGCACCUCCUCCGCAUCACCUCCCCAGCCCCGAGCUUCUGUCACUUGCUCCUCCCUCCGUGGCCUGCACCUGUGCUCCCUUCCGCCUUUGUGGCGGGGUCCACUCAGGGCUUUGACUGAAAUGGAGCAUGUACUCCCUGGCCCUGCCCCCAGUGGGCUUGCCACAGGGCUUGACACCUUGUGGGUGCUCCAUAAAUAUUGGUUGGCUGAAUAAAAGGGGUUUUGUAAGGGCCUUUAGCCAGGCAGUCUGCAUAGCAUGGAAUCUGGCCACCUUCAGGGCCAAGUCCCAGGCAAAGAGGAGCCCCAGAUGCAGACCCAAGAGGAGACAGGCACUGGAAGGACCUCACCAGCCCCAGAUCACAGGGCCACCCCAAGUGGACAGAGGACAGUCCAUGGCGGCCUCCACUGAGCACCUGCGCCCUCCCCGCAGUGCCCAUCACUGAGUGCACAGGUGUGAGGCUGCGUUGUGUGCUAGAAACAGAGCCUCAGGGAGGGGAACUGACUUCAGACAGGGCAAAGCGCAGAGUCAACUGCAAAUCCCUGUUCCUCAAUGAAAAAGCAAGUCAUCUUUUUAAAAAGUAAUUGCUGACAAAAAGUCAUGACUAUCAUUAAAAAGUCCAGGUCAUCCUCGUUCCCAGUGGCCCUGCUCUUUCUACCACUGUGUGUCAGGGAAUGUUUUCUGAGGGAGGGGACUUUGGGAAGGAGCAGGUCAGGGUAGAGAGAGAGCUGCAGAAAGGGCUAGAGAGCCAC